rnacentral:misc_RNA from 1 species
UACGAGGGGUCCAAGCGUUGUUCGGAAUCACUGGGCGUAAAGCGGGUGUAGGCGGAAUGGCAAGUCAGAAGUGAAAGCCCUGGGCUCAACCUAGGAAGUGCUUUUGAUACUGCUGUUCUUGAGUGUGGGAGAGGGUAGUAGAAUUCCUGGUGUAGUGGUGAAAUACGUAGAUAUCAGGAGGAAUACCGGUGGCGAAGGCGGCUACCUGGCCCAACACUGACGCUCAGACCCGAAAGCGUGGGGAUCAAACAGG